rnacentral:rRNA from 1 species
UGGGGAAUUUUGGACAAUGGGGGAAACCCUGAUCCAGCCAUCCCGCGUGUGCGAUGAAGGCCUUCGGGUUGUAAAGCACUUUUGGCAGGAAAGAAACGUGAUGGGUUAAUACCCCGUGAAACUGACGGUACCUGCAGAAUAAGAACCGGCUAACUACGUGCCAGCAGCCGCGGUAAUACGAAGGGUGCAAGGGUUAAUCGGAAUUACGGGGCAUAAAGCGGGCGCAGGCGGUUCGGAAAGAAAGAUGUGAAAUCCCAGAGCUCAACUUUGGACCUGCAGUUUUAGCUACCGGGCUAGGGGGGGUAAGAGGGAGGUGGAAUUCCUCGUGUAGCAGUGAAAUGCGUAGAUAUGGGGAGGAACACCGAUGGCGAAGGCAGCCUCCUUGGAUAACACUGACGCUCAUGCACGAAAGGGUGGGGAGCAAACAGG